GAUGAACGCUGGCGGCGUGCCUAAUACAUGCAAGUAGAACGCUGAAGGAGGAGCUUGCUCUUCUGGAUGAGUUGCGAACGGGUGAGUAACGCGUAGGUAACCUGCCUGGUAGCGGGGGAUAACUAUUGGAAACGAUAGCUAAUACCGCAUGACAACAGUUAUUGCAUGAUAACUGUUUAAAAGGGGCAACUGCUCCACUACCAGAUGGACCUGCGUUGUAUUAUCUAGUUGGUGAGGUAACGGCUCACCAAGGCGACGAUACAUAGCCGACCUGAGAGGGGGAUCGGCCACACUGGGACUGAGACACGGCCCAGACUCCUACGGGAGGCAGCAGUAGGGAAUCUUCGGCAAUGGACGGAAGUCUGACCGAGCAACGCCGCGUGAGUGAAGAAGGUUUUCGGAUCGUAAAGCUCUGUUGUAAGAGAAGAACGAGUGUGAGAGUGGAAAGUUCACACUGUGACGGUAGCUUACCAGAAAGGGACGGCUAACUACGUG
rnacentral:rRNA from 1 species